UGAGUGGGUGCUAGCAGAGAUAUCAAAGAU
rnacentral:piRNA from 1 species